rnacentral:rRNA from 1 species
UACGGAGGGGGCCAGCGUUGUUCGGAAUCAUUGGGCGUAAAGGGCGCGUAGGCGGCCAAUCAAGUCCGACGUGAAAUUCCCCGGCUCAACCGGGGGCCUGCGUCGGAUACUGCUUGGCUUGAGUCCCGGAGAGGGUAGUGGAAUUCCCAGUGUAGCGGUGAAAUGCGUAGAUACUGGGAGGAACACCGGUGGCGAAGGCGGCUACCUGGACGGGUACUGACGCUGAGGCGCGAAAGCCAGGGGAGCAAACGGG